rnacentral:rRNA from 1 species
GAAGUCUGGUAUGAAUGAACUUUGGGUAGUAACUGUCUUAAUAUAUUUUAAAAAAUUUAAUAUGUAAGUGAAAAUACUUACUUUAAUAUAAAAGACGAGAAGACCCUAGAAACUUAUAUUAUUUUUGUUGGGGCGACAGGAUUACAAUUAACUAAUCUUACUUAACGUGACGUUAAACAGUUAGAAAAAGUUACUCUAGGGAUAACAGCAA